rnacentral:rRNA from 1 species
GGGUUGUGAGGUUAAGCGACUAAGCGUACACGGUGGAUGCCCUGGCAGUCAGAGGCGAUGAAGGACGUGCUAAUCUGCGAUAAGCGUCGGUAAGGUGAUAUGAACCGUUAUAGAAACAUCUAAGUACCCCGAGGAAAAGAAAUCAACCGAGAUUCCCCCAGUAGCGGCGAGCGAACGGGGAGGAGCCCAGAGCCUGAAUCAGUGUGUGUGUUAGUGGAAGCGUCUGGAAAGGCGCGCGAUACAGGGUGACAGCCCCGUACACAAAAAUGCACAUAYUGUGAGCUCGAUGAGUAGGGCGGGACACGUGGUAUCCUGUCUGAAUAUGGGGGGACCAUCCUCCAAGGCUAAAUACUCCUGACUGACCGAUAGUGAACCAGUACCGUGAGGGAAAGGCGAAAAGAACCCCGGCGAGGGGAGUGAAAAAGAACCUGAAACCGUGUACGUACAAGCAGUGGGAGCCUCUUUUAUGGGGUGACUGCGUACCUUUUGUAUAAUGGGUCAGCGACUUAUAUUCUGUAGCAAGGUUAACCGAAUAGGGGAGCCGAAGGGAAACCGAGUCUUAACUGGGCGUUAAGUUGCAGGGUAUAGACCCGAAACCCGGUGAUCUAGCCAUGGGCAGGUUGAAGGUUGGGUAACACUAACUGGAGGACCGAACCGACUAAUGUUGAAAAAUUAGCGGAUGACUUGUGGCUGGGGGUGAAAGGCCAAUCAAACCGGGAGAUAGCUGGUUCUCCCCGAAAGCUAUUUAGGUAGCGCCUCGUGAACUCAUCUCCGGGGGUAGAGCACUGUUUCGGCAAGGGGGUCAUCCCGACUUACCAACCCGAUGCAAACUGCGAAUACCGGAGAAUGUUAUCACGGGAGACACACGGCGGGUGCUAACGUCCGUCGUGAAGAGGGAAACAACCCAGACCGCCAGCUAAGGUCCCAAAGUCAUGGUUAAGUGGGAAACGAUGUGGGAAGGCCCAGACAGCCAGGAUGUUGGCUUAGAAGCAGCCAUCAUUUAAAGAAAGCGUAAUAGCUCACUGGUCGAGUCGGCCUGCGCGGAAGAUGUAACGGGGCUAAACCAUGCACCGAAGCUGCGGCAGCGACACUAUGUGUUGUUGGGUAGGGGAGCGUUCUGUAAGCCUGUGAAGGUGURCUGUGAGGYAUGCUGGAGGUAUCAGAAGUGCGAAUGCUGACAUAAGUAACGAUAAAGCGGGUGAAAAGCCCGCUCGCCGGAAGACCAAGGGUUCCUGUCCAACGUUAAUCGGGGCAGGGUGAGUCGACCCCUAAGGCGAGGCCGAAAGGCGUAGUCGAUGGGAAACAGGUUAAUAUUCCUGUACUUGGUGUUACUGCGAAGGGGGGACGGAGAAGGCUAUGUUGGCCGGGCGACGGUUGUCCCGGUUUAAGCGUGUAGGCUGGUUUUCCAGGCAAAUCCGGAAAAUCAAGGCUGAGGCGUGAUGACGAGGCACUACGGUGCUGAAGCAACAAAUGCCCUGCUUCCAGGAAAAGCCUCUAAGCAUCAGGUAACAUCAAAUCGUACCCCAAACCGACACAGGUGGUCAGGUAGAGAAUACCAAGGCGCUUGAGAGAACUCGGGUGAAGGAACUAGGCAAAAUGGUGCCGUAACUUCGGGAGAAGGCACGCUGAUAUGUAGGUGAAGUCCCUCGCGGAUGGAGCUGAAAUCAGUCGAAGAUACCAGCUGGCUGCAACUGUUUAUUAAAAACACAGCACUGUGCAAACACGAAAGUGGACGUAUACGGUGUGACGCCUGCCCGGUGCCGGAAGGUUAAUUGAUGGGGUYAGCGCAAGCGAAGCUCUUGAUCGAAGCCCCGGUAAACGGCGGCCGUAACUAUAACGGUCCUAAGGUAGCGAAAUUCCUUGUCGGGUAAGUUCCGACCUGCACGAAUGGCGUAAUGAUGGCCAGGCUGUCUCCACCCGAGACUCAGUGAAAUUGAACUCGCUGUGAAGAUGCAGUGUACCCGCGGCAAGACGGAAAGACCCCGUGAACCUUUACUAUAGCUUGACACUGAACAUUGAGCCUUGAUGUGUAGGAUAGGUGGGAGGCUUAGAAGUGUGGACGCCAGUCUGCAUGGAGCCGACCUUGAAAUACCACCCUUUAAUGUUUGAUGUUCUAACGUUGACCCGUGAUCCGGGUUGCGGACAGUGUCUGGUGGGUAGUUUGACUGGGGCGGUCUCCUCCUAAAGAGUAACGGAGGAGCACGAAGGUUGGCUAAUCCUGGUCGGACAUCAGGAGGUUAGUGCAAUGGCAUAAGCCAGCUUGACUGCGAGCGUGACGGCGCGAGCAGGUGCGAAAGCAGGUCAUAGUGAUCCGGUGGUUCUGAAUGGAAGGGCCAUCGCUCAACGGAUAAAAGGUACUCCGGGGAUAACAGGCUGAUACCGCCCAAGAGUUCAUAUCGACGGCGGUGUUUGGCACCUCGAUGUCGGCUCAUCACAUCCUGGGGCUGAAGUAGGUCCCAAGGGUAUGGCUGUUCGCCAUUUAAAGUGGUACGCGAGCUGGGUUUAGAACGUCGUGAGACAGUUCGGUCCCUAUCUGCCGUGGGCGCUGGAGAAYUGAGGGGGGCUGCUCCUAGUACGAGAGGACCGGAGUGGACGCAUCACUGGUGUUCGGGUUGUCAUGCCAAUGGCACUGCCCGGUAGCUAAAUGCGGAAGAGAUAAGUGCUGAAAGCAUCUAAGCACGAAACUUGCCCCGAGAUGAGUUCUCCCUGACYCYUURAGRGUCCUGAAGGAACGUUGAAGACGACGACGUUGAUAGGCCGGGUGUGUAAGCGCAGCGAUGCGUUGAGCUAACCGGUACUAAUGAACCGUGAGGCUUAACCUUACAACGCCGAAGCUGUU